ACAUACAUGCAAACACACAGGACCACACACGCACACAUACCCACACAUACACAUACAUGCAAACACAGGACCACACACGCACACACUCAUGCAUAUACAUGCAAACACACAGGACCGCACACAUACACAAGCAUGCACAUAUAUGCAAACACACAGGACCACACACAUGCACACACGUAUGCACAUACAUGCAAACACAAAGGAACACACACGCACACACACAAGCAUGCACACACAUUCAAGCAUGUGGGAGCAUGCACACACAGACAUGGGCAGACAAAAACGCAUGCACACACAUGCAAGCACACAGGAUCACACCCACAGACUAACACACACACGAACAUGCAUGCACGCACACAUGCACACCCUUUUCCAACUUGACUGGACCUUCACUGCACGGUCGUAUGGACUGUGGAGAAGAGAUGGGAAAGUGCAUGUAGGAAAGCCAAGCCCUCGUGGAGCUUGUCGAAAGGUUUUUAUGGUGAAUGUGAUUCAAAGCCAUAAUAGCAACUUCCCAGUAGCCAUACCAAUAUUCACACUGUGCAAUGUCCAAGACUGCUGGGCUCUCCACCGACUGAGAGACUGGAUGAAUACUGGUGAUCACGUGAAUUUGUGCAUUUGAACUCUGACCUUUAAAAAAACAAUUUGCAUGGCAUUCAUAAUAUGUUAAAGCCAAGGGCAUGAAAUACAAACUAAAUCGCUCUGGUUCACCAAGGUAACCAACUUCCUGUUGCAAACGUUAAGAAAAAAAAAUGAAAAGACUGAGUUUGAAUGGGCAGAGACAUAUUGACAAACGUAUUUAUUGCUUUUGUCUGCUGGUCAGAAGUACUGAUGGGACUUGUUUGUUUGUUAUUAGUUUACCGUACUCAGAUGUGGACAGCGGAUCACAAACAUUAUUGUAUUGUUAUUUCAGCGUUACUGAAUGUGGCCAAUGUACAAAAUUGUUAGUCGAAACGCCAAGCAAAGCCUGCCACCAAAGCUACAUUUCAAUUAGCAUGAAUGCAUUGUGGCUUCGCCCUAAAGUCACACAUCCCCCGACGAGACGCAACUUUGUAAUCGCCUCCAUUCAUUUCAACUGGAGCCGAGUUUUCGCGUCCGCAAUGCAUGCUGGGAUAGCUGGGGCAAGUGGGCGGAGCGACCUGAAGGAUGGGAAACAUGGUGCCAUAACCAAUCAGAUUAAAGAUUCUUCGAUUUUAAAUAAUAUUUCCCCCUUCCACAUAGUUCUGUUCGGAGGACUUGUUAAUUAUUGCUUUGUGGGGAUUUCCUAGAUAUACGAUAGAUAUUCAUUUAACGAACACUAUUUUAAAACUCGAAAACAUGCCCAUAAGCAGCAGAUGGAGCUGUGGGAGGAGAGGGCAAUGCCAGGGGAACUCGUCUGAGGAUGUGUGGCUUCACCCUUAGAAUGUCGAUUCCCAUUUUUUUCCUAGCUGGGCAAAUUGAAAAGAGCAGCUUGUGCGUUUGACCCUUGACAAACUGAGAUUUUAAACACCUGUUUUGAUUGCCGUUUCGUCAAAGCCAAAUGUUUGUUGCACGUUCAACCAAAAUCGCAGCGACAUUCUAAUGGAAACGUAGCAACUGUGGUGCCAUAAAGGAUCCUCAUCAAAUAUGACGAAGAGAAUCAUUUUGCCACAAGGACGAGCUAUUUAAUUCAGGUAACUUAAUUAGAUUAUUUAGCCACGGGUUUGCAUGCCUGCAAAAAAAAAAACAGCCUUAAAUGAAAAAUCCUUUGUUUCUCUGAAGCCUUAGCAAUAAUCUGUUAUGACUGUUGGUCUUGCGUGACGUAUACGCGCAAACAGGAUUUCAUUCCAGUUCCGUGUCCGUGAAACCUGCAGGUACGUUUGAUUUCAGGGUAAAUCUGUAGCUGCUACAAGCGAGACCGUAUGUGCUGUCUGUGGGUGUAACAUCUUCAGUCUCACAUAAUAUGCCACAAGAAACGAAAAAAAAAAAGCUUCAUAUGUCUUCCCAGUGUUACCCAUGGGGAAAGGGAGUAUUUCAGACUGUCGAAUUUCAGUUGGUACUUCAAACGUUCUGAACCGUGGCCUGCUGAGAGCUGGGCUCCUGCUCAUUAGACGGCUCGGUCUGUGGAGGUCUGAAAAUAAUCUUCCCAAAGCAGGGAGCACUGAUGUCAGGCGAAUGUUGGGAGCAUUAUCUGUGAUCUAAUUUAAGAAAUGAUGGAGGUGGUAGCCUACCAAUGUUGCCAGAUGCUUGAAUUAAUUCCCCCUAAAAAAUUCAAACUCCUCAAAACCCCCAAUCUCCAAUUGAUCUCCCCAUCAAAACCUCCCCAUCGCCACUUGACUCCCAUACAAAUUUUUCACUUUGUACCCCAUGCUUCAUUUAAAAAUCUCACAUUUUCCCUCUACCUUUUUACUGUGAAACGCCCCUUAUGCAUUUUUAAAAUUCCCCUACAUUUAGGCGUAAAUUCCCCAGUCUGGAGACCCUGGGUGGUGCCGAGGCAGUUCACUGUUUGUCCAAUGGGGAGAUGACUCUAUCUGGCCUCCACGACCUGUAGGACUGUGUGAGCAACAGACCGCACUUGGAAGCUAAGUGGCUGUUGAGGCAGUAUUCAAACAUCAAUCAUUGGCUACGACCUUUUGCUUUCAUCUCCCAGGACAUGGACCAGGUGCACCUGAUCACACUGUAGAUUGAUGCUCUGAUUUAGUUAUCCUUUAUUAAUAGACUGAUUUAUCUUUGGACUGGUUUAUAUAUGCUCAUUGCAGUUUAAUGGACAUUUUCCUUGGCUCUGAUUGCGUAUUGUAGAAAUGUAUUUUUUGUGCUACUGCAAGACCUGCACCACAUAAUCAGACUGAACCCUCUCAUGGAUUGUCAUGAAAAAAAUGGGUCCUAUUUUAAUAUUGACCCCUAUGUAAUUGGGAGCAUAGCAGUUUAGCUGUACAUUUGUGAUGCACUGAUUUAAUUGGCUAAGAUUUAAUGGGGGGGGGGGGGCAGUAGGCUGGAACCACCAAUGGCUCAAUUUUAUUUUAAGACUAAGUUUUUUUUUUGUAGUUGCGGAAGAAAUAUGUUGACUGAUGAUAUUUAAUUUGUUCAAGAGUUCCAUUCAGGGUUAAAUAUGAAUUCUGUGUCCCACGUCAGAAUGAACAUUUGACAAAACAUUUCUGACAGAACACAUUACAGCAAAUACCAGUUUAAACCUUAAUCGUGUUUAGGGUGACAGUAAAAAAAGCUCCCUAGGUUGCAUAUAGGAAGAAACCUUGGGAAGAACCAUACUCAGUAGGGGGCCCACCAGCAUCUGGCUUGGUUUGGGGUUGUGGGACCAACGUGGUCAUUAAGUAAAUAUCGACUCAUUUUGAAUGAAGGGAUGAGAGCACAUAAGCAGUGGUUGUAUCCCGCCAUUUUCUGUAACUUGUCGCACUUCUCAUCCGUUGCGCUGAAGUCGGCCUAGAAUCAGUAGUUUGCUGGCUCUGGGUUUAUUAUGGGAUGUUUUGGCCGUAGGUUCGCUAGACACCUUCUGGACGCGCCGGCCUCUUGUUGUACCCAAAUGGGCAACACCACAGUCUAGAAUACAUUUUCGUGUCCCAUAAUUCCAGUUGGAAUGAGCCCGUACAACAGCUAUGCUGAAGCAGUCACCGUCAGGUGACCAGGGCUUGUCAUAAGUGGUGGACUGACCGGUCGUGAACUGGCCCGUUCCGUGUGUGAAAUGAGAUGUAAUUCGUUGCCUGGGUAAAGUGACCUACAUGUGUGUGAAUGGAAACACCACGUGUAUUGUGUUAGAUUAAGAGGUGUAGUUCUGUCUCGUGUGUGUGCGUGUGUGUGUGUGUUUUAACAGACCCACUGGUUGAGUGGAGUGUUAAAAGCGAUGAAGCAUUGAUAAUGUCUGUUGUUAGGGGGGGGAGGGGGAAUGCCUUUCAGUAAGCUGUCAUUUGAUUGAUGUAAAUGUUUAAUAUUUUAUUACUGCUGUACAUUUUUUUUUCUAUCCUCGUGUGAAAAGUGAAGUAAUUUAUUAAUUUAUUGUUUUGCUGUUUAAAAAAGAAAAAAAAGAAAAGAAAAACAGAAAUACAGCUUGCCUAACAGUGUAUGCUCUGUCUCGGGUCUGUGAAGCAAUAUGCCAAAUGAUGCCACGGUAACAGUAAAAUAUGGUACAUUUGGGAUGCACAUGACUUUGUUAUUCCUGUAUUACCAGAAAAGAUGUGGACUGUAAAUAAACGAUGCAUUACAAAUA